rnacentral:rRNA from 1 species
AUUCCAGCUCCAAUAGCGUAUAUUUAAGUUGUUGCAGUUAAAAAGCUCGUAGUUGGACCUUGGGACGUCACGGUCGGUCCGCCUUCUUGGUGUGCACUGGCCCUCACGUCCCUUCUGCCGGCGGCGUGUUCCUGGCCUUAAUUGGCUGGGUCGCGGUUCCGGCGCCGUUACUUUGAAAAAAUUAGAGUGCUCAAAGCAAGCCUACGCUCUGAAUACAUUAGCAUGGAAUAACGCGAUAGGAGUCUGGUCCUGUUCCGUUGGCCUUCGGGACCGGAGUAAUGAUUAAUAGGGACUGUCGGGGGCAUUCGUAUUUCAUUGUCAGAGGUGAAAUUCUUGGAUUUAUGGAAGACGAACCACUGCGAAAGCAUUUGCCAAGGAUGUUUUCAUUG